rnacentral:rRNA from 1 species
AGGACGAACGCUAGCGGCGUGUCUGAAACAUGCAAGUCGAGCGGGAGUAGCAAUACUCCAGCGGCGAACGGGUGCGUAACACGUAAAGAACCUACCCUUUAGCGGGGGAUAGCCUCGGGAAACUGGGGGUAAUACCGCAUACGCUAUAGUUAUCGCAUGAUGAUUAUAGGAAAGGCUUCGGUCACUAAAGGAGGGCUUUGCGGCCUAUCAGGUAGUUGGUGAGGUAACGGCUCACCAAGCCAUAGACGGGUAGCUGGU